rnacentral:rRNA from 1 species
CCUACGGGCGGCAGCAGUGGGGAAUAUUGGACAAUGGGGGGAACCCUGAUCCAGCCAUGCCGCGUGUGUGAAGAAGGCCCUCGGGUUGUAAAGCACUUUCAGUGAGGAAGAACGCCUGGUGGUUAAUACCCAUCAGGAAAGACAUCACUCACAGAAGAAGCACCGGCUAACUCCGUGCCAGCAGCCGCGGUAAUACGGAGGGUGCGAGCGUUAAUCGGAAUUACUGGGCGUAAAGCGCGCGUAGGUGGCUUGAUAAGCCGGUUGUGAAAGCCCCGGGCUCAACCUGGGAACGGCAUCCGGAACUGUCAAGCUAGAGUGCAGGAGAGGAAGGUAGAAUUCCCGGUGUAGCGGUGAAAUGCGUAGCGAUCGGGAGGAAUACCAGUGGCGAAGGCGGCCUUCUGGACUGACACUGACACUGAGGUGCGAAAGCGUGGGUAGCAAACAGGAUUAGAUACCCGAGUAGUC